GGGGAAUAUUUCGCAAUGGACGAAAGUCUGACGGAGCAACGCCGCGUGAGUGAUGAAGGAUUUCGGUUCGUAAAGCUCUGUUGCAGGGGAAAAAGAAAGUGAUUGUACUCUGCGAGAAAGGGACGGCCAACUUCGUGCCAGCAGCCGCGGUAAUACGAAGGUCCCUAGCGUUGUUCGGAAUUAUUGGGCGUAAAGAGCUCGUAGGUGGUUUUGUAAGUCAGGUGUGAAAGCCCCGAGCUUAACUCGGGAGGUGCACUUGAAACUACUUAACUUGAGUACGGAAGAGGUGAGUGGAAUUCCUGGUGUAGUGGUGAAAUACGUAGAUAUCAGGAGGAACAUCGGUGGCGAAGGCGGCUCACUGGUCCAGUACUGACACUGAGGAGCGAAAGCAUGGGGAUCAAAC
rnacentral:rRNA from 1 species